rnacentral:rRNA from 1 species
UACGUAGGGGGCAAGCGUUGUCCGGAUUUAUUGGGCGUAAAGAGCGUGUAGGCGGCUUUACAGGUCCGUUGUGAAAACUCGAGGCUCAACCUCGAGACGCCGGUGGAAACCGUAAAGCUAGAGUCCGGAAGAGGAGAGUGGAAUUCCUGGUGUAGCGGUGAAAUGCGCAGAUAUCAGGAGGAACACCCGUGGCGAAAGCGGCUCUCUGGGACGGUACUGGCGCUGAGACGCGAAAGCGUGGGGAGCAAACAGG